rnacentral:rRNA from 1 species
AUGCCAAGGUCGUCGAUCCCCUGCUGCAGGCGAUACAAGGACAGGGGGGCCGACGGUUGGUUGCACGUGAUGGGAGAAGAGGAUAGGAGGGGGCGGAGCCGUUGGUUGCGCUCGACCCCGCGGCAUGCGGACCCUUUACAUCGUCAUCGUCAUGGCCGGGAGCCAAGCCCAGAAAACAAACACCGCCAUCACCGACGCCACCACGGCCACCUGCUCGACGGAUUGCAGAGGAGGAUGAUGACACCCAUGGCCGCCUCGCUCGACCCCUCACUCACCAUCGCCGCCGCCAGGCCGCGCCUCGCCGCUCCCCCGCCGUCCUCUGCCGUGGCCGCGGGCGGGCUGUGCCGUGGCACCGUCCUCCAGCGGGGACGGCAGCGGCACAGCAGGUUCUCGUGCCGCGCGGGAUCCGCCGCCUCGGAGAUUUCCUAG